AAGUCGUAACAAGGUUUCCGUAGGUGAACCUGCGGAAGGAUCAUUAUUGAAUGAACUUGGUAUGAUUGUUGCUGGCUCAUCUGGGCAUGUGCACGUCUGCCAUCUUUAUCUCUCCACCUGUGCACAUAUUGUAGGUCUGGAAUAAAUUUCUGAGGCAACUCAGUAGUGGGGAAUGCUGCUGCGAAGUGGCUUUGCCUGUAAUUUCAGAUCUAUGUUUUCAUAUACACCAUAAAAAUGUAACAGAAUGUAUUAAUGGGUCUUGUACCUAUAAACUAUAUACAACUUUCAGCAACGGAUCUCUUGGCUCUC
rnacentral:misc_RNA from 1 species